CGGACGGGUGAGUAACACGUGGAUAACCUACCUAUAAGACUGGGAUAACUUCGGGAAACCGGAGCUAAUACCGGAUAAUAUAUUGAACCGCAUGGUUCAAUAGUGAAAGGCGGCUUUGCUGUCACUUAUAGAUGGAUCCGCGCCGUAUUAGCUAGUUGGUAAGGUAACGGCUUACCAAGGCAACGAUGCGUAGCCGACCUGAGAGGGUGAUCGGCCACACUGGAACUGAUACACGGUCCAG
rnacentral:rRNA from 1 species